rnacentral:rRNA from 1 species
GUCUAUGGCCAUGCAACCCUGAACAAGCCCGAUCUCAACAAGCCUGAUCUUGGAAGCUAAGCAGGUUCUGGCCAGAUUACUAUUUGGAUGGGAGACUACCUAGGAAGACCAGGUGCUGUAGACA